UACGCACGGAGCUAGCGCUGUUCGGAAUCACUGGGAGUAAAGCGCACGUAGGCGGAUUUGUCAGUCAGGGGUGAAAUCCCGAGGCUCAACCUCUGAAUUGGCUCCGAUACAGCAAAACUCGAGUCCUGGAGAGGUGGGUGGAAUUCCUAGUGUAGAGGUGAAAUUCGUAGAUAUUAGGAAGAACACCAGUGGCGAAGGCGGCCCACUGGCCCGGUAUUGACGCUGAGGUGCGAAAGCGUGGGGAGCAAACAGG
rnacentral:rRNA from 1 species